GCUCUAUAGAUUUCAACCUUGAUCAACAUUUGUGAAAUAUUAGGCUAGGGGUAACGUGAAAUCAAAGAUACCUAGUCGUUUCGUGGCCAAGCGUCAAAUAUAGGUAACAUUUGACGCCUGCCAGUCAAAAUGAAGCCUCGACAUUUUCUUGCAAGUUUCAUAACUCGUGAAAUGUGCUAGUACAUUUCCUAAUUGCAUCGCUCGAAUUCUAUCAAUUCGAUGAGUGAUGUAAAAUCUCAUACAAAACCCAAUGAACUUUUUAAUUCAAUUCAAUUUUCUUCAUUGCGAAUAUGGGUAAACAGGUACUGUAUGGAUUUCAAUUCAAUUUUUUUAUGUAACUUACUUCGCCAAUGAUGUGAGGAAUUAAAGAGACACGAGAAUGGUUAUUCUAUAUGUGUCACGCAGCAUCAAGUCUGAUCGAAUGUCGUAAGUGUAUUUCCGCCCUAAAAUAUUACUAGGUAUAUUUAUACAAGUUAUAAUUAAUUAUUAUUACUAUACAAAACAUAGACACUAAUUCUGUUGCACAUAAAUCAAAACUAAAUUGACUUGACCAAAAAUAUUGCCAUCUCUUUCCGUACAAGACAAUGUGAAAAAGAUGGCAAUAUUUCAUGCAUCUUUUUUCAGGGAGAUCUAAGAAAUUUAGUUGUAUCAAUUUAGUUUGGUUAGUUUUAUAUGCAAUUGAAUUAGCAAUAUCUAUUAACUAAAAAUUAAAGUUACAUUUAUAUCUGUCUAGAAAGUGUUAAAUGAAUGUUUAUAAAAUAUUGUGAUUAUAUGAUUUGUAAAUAUAAUUUUAUUACGGGGUUCGUAAACAUCAUAUUUUGUCCUAUCUUUGGUUAAUAAUGGUUUGUGAUGGUUGAUGAUUCAGUUUGUGAUGGUUGAUGAUAUAGUUUGUGAUGGUUGAUGAUAUAGUUGGUGAUAGUUGAUGAUUUAGUUCAUGAUGGUGAAUGAUAUAAUUUGUGAUGGUUGAUGAUAUCGUUGGUGAUAGUUAGUGAUUUAGUUCAUGAUGGUUGAUGAUAUAAUUUGUGAUGGUUGAUUAUUUAAUUUGUGAUGAUUGAUGAUAUAGCUUGUGAUGUUUACUGAUUUAGUUUGUGAUGAUUGAUGAUGCAGUUUUUGAUGGUUGAUGAUGUAGUUUCAGAUGGUUGAAGGUUUGACUUGACCUACAAUGGCUUUGCAAGUGAAAUCUUGUAUAAUAUAGCUAUGAAGUAUUAA